CAAUAGAGGCUUUUGUGAAAAUAUAAUUUGUAUGAUUUAUACUUUAAUUAUAAUAAAAGUAGAUUAGAGAGGGUAGGGGUGGCAUUGGGAUUGCUUUCUCUGCGGGCUUCUGCUAUCUGGAGCCUACAGAGAGUCAGUUUUGAGAUAGAGUGGGAAGGAAAAUAAAAAUACAGCUAACUAUAAAAGAUUAUUCAUGUAUUCUCUUUAUAGUUAUCCUCAGCAUUUUCCUGAGCUGUGAUUCUGAAAAGAUUUUUGUUUGGAUUUAGUUUUAUACUGAGCUUUGCUGCCCCGAGUUGCUGUCCUCAUUUCUGUGGUUUGGGUACAUCUAAAUAACCUCAGGGGCUGAAAAGAGUCCAGGAUCUGGGAAGGCGAUGGAGCCCACAAAGAUUAAGGACCAAGACCUAGUACUCCAUUGAAGAUCUGUGGGAAGUAAGCAUUAACACUCAAUUUCUGCCUCCUGUACUUUCAGUUCAUUUCAUUUCAUCUUUCUGUAUUCUGUCUGAUGAGACGGAAUUUGAGUUACCAAAUCAUUCUCAGCACUUUGUCCAGCUUACCUUUGAAAGAUGAAGAGCAGGUCAAAUUACUUCAACAGUGUCUUUGAGGAUAAAGUCUGAAACUAACUUUCUUCGGUAUGUGUUCAUCCAAUGUCUAGCAUGAAGUGCCCAGUACACCCACCUGCUUUCAGAGAGCAAAUUAAUAGUGGUAGCAGGGAUAAAGCUGAUGUUUAAAAGCUGAAGAUACCACAACAUGAGAAGUCAUCUGAGAAAGUAAGUUGCUUGGGUUAGACCCCGUUGCUGGUGUGUUUGUACAGAACAUAGCAGAGCUCCUGGGUCCUCCCAGCCACCACCGAACAAGUAAGCUCUUUCCAUGGGAUCGCAGUGCCGGGCAUGUGGUUGCCUUAUUGAAAGAAGUACAAACUCUGCUUAAGGCAACUAGCUCUAUUCAAGACAACGUUCGUAGUGGCUCACUAGCUUCUAUAAAACUGAAGUCUCUGACUGUUGUGCCAAGCCUUUCAUCUGACCCUUGACUUGCUUUCAGCCUCCUGUCUCUGGGUGCUAACACAUGGGGAACUGCCCUUCCGGAGGCUGAGUUACCAGUCCUGGACCUCUUUACCAUACCUAGACAGACUUAUCUGAUAUAUUACAACAUAACUGAAUUAAAAUCAAAGACUUGCAUUAAUUUACUAGAAAGAAAAUCUGGAUGCUCAGGGUGGAAGCAUCACCUCUAGGAAAAGAAGGGACUGAAUUUGGUAUCCAACUUUGACAACCUAACUCUGUAGAAGAAAAUUUAAUUCUGGCUUUGACUUUGGUAAAUAACUUACUGGCUUGCAGAAGAAAUUUCCUCCUCCUUCUCUUGCUUGUUCUCUGUUUACAGGAUGGAUUAAAACUUUCAAAAUGUUUGGGUUUAAUUUUCAUUUAAGACAUUUAUACGAGAUAUAUGGUCCUUUCCACAGCCAAAGCAACUGUAGGAUAUCACAAAAAUUUCAAUAUUCUUUGCUUCAGGAACUCUUCUGUGUAUUGUACUGUUUUGGGAAGGCAUAUGUGUGAACGUGUCUGUGCAGAUGACGGGCUGAUCACAUGGAAGAGUGAGGCAGCAGAUGUUUUUGUACAGCCUGAGCAACACCUGGGUUUGACCUUGACAACAGAUUAAAGAAGUAGGCUUUUGAGGUAACGUGGCAGCUGAACAAAGUUUGGAGCUGUAAACAAAAACCAGCGUCACUUGAUUCUCUGUAUGCUCAACAAGGUGGGAUUUUGUACAUUUUUAUAAAUAAACAG